CAACCGAGCUCCCCUGCUUCCCUGCCUGUGCCGUCCAGCCGCUCCCUCCUCUUCUCUUAUGGUCGCUCCCUCUGCCGAGAUCGGUCUCUACAACUCCCUGCCCCAGCCCAGCACCGUGAUUUCUCCCUCCAUCUCUCCUGCGCAUGCUCUGGUCCUAGCGCCGCGCUCCUUUCUCCCAUGCUGCGCGCCGUGCUCCUACUGCUCCCUGCACGCUGCGGCCCACUGCUCCUCCCAGCCAUGGAGCUCGCCAGCCGGCGCUCCUCCAGUCGCCCAGCCCAGCAGGAGCUUCUCCCAUGGCCGCGACGCCCUGGCUCCUG
rnacentral:misc_RNA from 1 species